CAAGGCUGAGGCGUGAUGACGAGGCACUACGGUGCUGAAGCAACAAAUGCCCUGCUUCCAGGAAAAGCCUCUAAGCAUCAGGUAACAUCAAAUCGUACCCCAAACCGACACAGGUGGUCAGGUAGAGAAUACCAAGGCGCUUGAGAGAACUCGGGUGAAGGAACUAGGCAAAAUGGUGCCGUAACUUCGGGAGAAGGCACGCUGAUAUGUAGGUGAAGCGACUUGCUCGUGGAGCUGAAAUCAGUCGAAGAUACCAGCUGGCUGCAACUGUUUAUUAAAAACACAGCACUGUGCAAACACGAAAGUGGACGUAUACGGUGUGACGCCUGCCCGGUGCCGGAAGGUUAAUUGAUGGGGUUAGCGGUAACGCGAAGCUCUUGAUCGAAGCCCCGGUAAACGGCGGCCGUAACUAUAACGGUCCUAAGGUAGCGAAAUUCCUUGUCGGGUAAGUUCCGACCUGCACGAAUGGCGUAAUGAUGGCCAGGCUGUCUCCACCCGAGACUCAGUGAAAUUGAACUCGCUGUGAAGAUGCAGUGUACCCGCGGCAAGACGGAAAGACCCCGUGAACCUUUACUAUAGCUUGACACUGAACAUUGAGCCUUGAUGUGUAGGAUAGGUGGGAGGCUUUGAAGUGUGGACGCCAGUCUGCAUGGAGCCGACCUUGAAAUACCACCCUUUAAUGUUUGAUGUUCUAACGUUGGCCCGUUAUCCGGGUUGCGGACAGUGUCUGGUGGGUAGUUUGACUGGGGCGGUCUCCUCCUAAAGAGUAACGGAGGAGCACGAAGGUUGGCUAAUCCUGGUCGGACAUCAGGAGGUUAGUGCAAUGGCAUAAGCCAGCUUGACUGCGAGCGUGACGGCGCGAGCAGGUGCGAAAGCAGGUCAUAGUGAUCCGGUGGUUCUGAAUGGAAGGGCCAUCGCUCAACGGAUAAAAGGUACUCCGGGGAUAACAGGCUGAUACCGCCCAAGAGUUCAUAUCGACGGCGGUGUUUGGCACCUCGAUGUCGGCUCAUCACAUCCUGGGGCUGAAGUAGGUCCCAAGGGUAUGGCUGUUCGCCAUUUAAAGUGGUACGCGAGCUGGGUUUAGAACGUCGUGAGACAGUUCGGUCCCUAUCUGCCGUGGGCGCUGGAGAACUGAGGGGGGCUGCUCCUAGUACGAGAGGACCGGAGUGGACGCAUCACUGGUGUUCGGGUUGUCAUGCCAAUGGCACUGCCCGGUAGCUAAAUGCGGAAGAGAUAAGUGCUGAAAGCAUCUAAGCACGAAACUUGCCCCG
rnacentral:rRNA from 1 species